rnacentral:rRNA from 1 species
AUUGAACGCUGGCGGCAGGCCUAACACAUGCAAGUCGAACGGUAACAGAAAGCAGCUUGCUGCUUUGCUGACGAGUGGCGGACGGGUGAGGAAUGUCUGGGAAACUGCCUGAUGGAGGGGGAUAACUACUGGAAACGGUAGCUAAUACCGCAUAACGUCGCAAGACCAAAGAGGGGGACCUUCGGGCCUCUUGCCAUCGGAUGUGCCCAGAUGGGAUUAGCUAGUAGGUGGGGUAACGGCUCACCUAGGCGACGAUCCCUAGCUGGUCUGAGAGGAUGACCAGCCACACUGGAACUGAGACACGGUCCAGACUCCUACGGGAGGCAGCAGUGGGGAAUAUUGCACAAUGGGCGCAAGCCUGAUGCAGCCAUGCCGCGUGUAUGAAGAAGGCCUUCGGGUUGUAAAGUACUUUCAGCGGGGAGGAAGGGAGUAAAGUUAAUACCUUUGCUCAUUGACGUUACCCGCAGAAGAAGCACCGGCUAACUCCGUG